rnacentral:rRNA from 1 species
UACGGAGGGUGCAAGCGUUAUCCGGAUUCACUGGGUUUAAAGGGUGCGUAGGUGGGUUGAUAAGUCAGUGGUGAAAUCCCCGAGCUUAACUUGGGAACUGCCAUUGAUACUAUUGAUCUUGAAUACCGUGGAGGUCAGCGGAAUAUGUCAUGUAGCGGUGAAAUGCUUAGAUAUGACAUAGAACACCAAUUGCGAAGGCAG